UACGUAGGGGGCAAGCGUUGGUCCGGAUUCAUUGGGCGUAAAGAGCGUGUAGGCGGCCAGGUAGGUCGGUUGUGAAAACUGGAGGCUCAACCUUCAGAGGUCGACCGAAACCAUCUGGCUAGAGUCCGGGAGAGGAGAGUGGAAUUCCUGGUGUAGCGGUGAAAUGCGCAGAUAUCAGGAAGAACACCCGUGGCGAAGGCGGCUCUCUGGAACGCAACUGACGCUGAGACGCGAAAGCGUGGGGAGCAAACAGG
rnacentral:rRNA from 1 species